UGGUAAUGGCGACCGGCGCACGGGUGAUACACGUAUGUAACCUACCUCAAACAGGGGUGAUAACCCGGAGAAAUUCGGACUAAUACCGCAUAAAACAGGAUACCGCAUGGUAAUAUUGUUAAAGAUUUAUUGGUUUGAGAUGGGCAUGCGAUUCAUUAGCUAGUUGGUAAGGUAACGGCUUACCAAGGGCUACGAUGAAUAGGGGUUCUGAAAAGAAGGUCCCCCACACUGGUACUGAGACACGGACCAGACUCCUACGGGAGGCAGCAGUGAGGAAUAUUCGGUCAAUGGGCGCGAGCCUAAACCAGCCAUGCCGAGUGCAGGAAUACAGGCCUAUGGGUUUUAAACUGCUUUUGUACGGAGGGUAAAACUGUUGGCACCGUAAUGCCAAUUUUGAAAGUAUUGUUACGAAAUUAGGAUCGGAUAAACUCCGUGCCAACAAGACCG
rnacentral:rRNA from 1 species